GGUCUGUCAGCAGAAGGAGCAGCAACUGCACCUGGAGACUGCUUCCUUUAGAAUGUGGAGUGAACCCUUGAAACUGGGGCUGUGACCUUUCCUGUUUUUGGGGCAUCCUGGCCACAUUGAAGUGCUGGCAGAUGUAAGGGCAAUGUUGAUCUCUGGAGGCUGUCUGCUGUGGAGCAUGGUAUCCUGACCACAUUUAAGGGGUGAAAGCCAUAAGGGCAGCAUCUCUACCUGGAGACUGCUUCCUUCGCAGUGUGGGCUGAGUGUUCGUCUUUGGAAUGGGGAAGCCAAGGAUUGUCCUCUUCUGGACUGCUGUACUCAGCAUCACCCCAGCGUGAUGAAGUGAAGCCCCUGGUCUGCUGAAUACUGGGACUGGCCCAGAGAGGCUCUGUGACGGAUGUGGAUUAUCCCAGCUGGAGCACUUGGGACUUCACCUGACUGCCUCGACUUCUCAAAUACCACUGAGAGUGGCUCAGUGACUGCAGCGGUGAAUUCCCUCUGAGCUCUGGGACUCGUCUCAUCAGGACCCGAAGACUCCUGGAUGCUCGGGUUCUCAGGUGGUCCAGAACCUGAUCUCCCAUCACAGUGUGGGAUAGGGAGGGGUCUGUGGGAUCGGCUUUGCUUCCUCAGUCCCCACCUACUAAACCAAAGGUGAAGGCAGUGUAUAAUGAGCAGUUAUCAGAGAAGAUG